rnacentral:rRNA from 1 species
GGCCCAGACUCCUACGGGAGGCAGCAGUGGGGGAUAUUGCACAAUGGGGGAAACCCUGAUGCAGCGACGCCGCGUGUGGGAAGACGGUCUUCUGGAUUGUAAACCACUGUCCCCAGGGACGAAGAUGACGGUACCUGGGGAGGAAGCUCCGGCUAACUACGUGCCAGCAGCCGCGGUAAUACGUAGGGAGCGAGCGUUGUCCGGAAUUACUGGGUGUAAAGGGAGCGUAGGCGGGACUGCAAGUUGGGUGUCAAAUCUGCCGGCUCAACCGGUAGCCGCACUCAAAACUGCAGUUCUUGAGUGAAGUAGAGGCAGGCGGAAUUCCUAGUGUAGCGGUGAAAUGCGUAGAUAUCAGGAGGAACACCGGUGGCGAAGGCGGCCUGCUGGACUGCAACUGACGUUGAGGCCCGAAAGCGUGGGGAGCAAACAGGAUUAGAUACCCCAGUA